rnacentral:rRNA from 1 species
ACAAGCGGUGGAGCAUGUGGUUAAUUCGAAGCAACGCGAAGAACCUUACCAGGUCUUGACAUCCCCUGACAACCCGAGAGAUCGGGCGUUCCCCUUCGGGGGACAGGGUGACAGGUGGUGCAUGGUUGUCGUCAGCUCGUGUCGUGAGAUGUUGGGUUAAGUCCCGCAACGAGCGCAACCCUCGACCUUAGUUGCCAGCAUUCAGUUGGGCACUCUAAGGUGACUGCCGGCUAAAAGUCGGAGGAAGGUGGGGAUGACGUCAAAUCAUCAUGCCCCUUAUGACCUGGGCUACACACGUGCUACAAUGGGCGGUACAAAGGGUCGCGAACCCGCGAGGGGGGAGCCAAUCCCAAAAAGCCGCUCUCAGUUCGGAUUGCAGGCUGCAACUCGCCUGCAUGAAGCCGGAAUCGCUAGUAAUCGCGGAUCAGCAUGCCGCGGUGAAUACGUUCCCGGGCCUU